rnacentral:rRNA from 1 species
GCAAGUCGAGCGCGAAAGCCUUUCGGGGUGAGUAGAGCGGCGGACGGGUGAGUAACGCGUGGGAAUAUGCCCUUCUCUAAGGAAUAGCCUCUGGAAACGGAGAGUAAUACCUUAUACGCCCUUUGGGGGAAAGAUUUAUCGGAGAAGGAUUAGCCCGCGUUAGAUUAGGUAGUUGGUGGGGUAAUGGCCUACCAAGCCUACGAUCUAUAGCUGGUUUGAGAGGAUGAUC